rnacentral:lncRNA from 1 species
GGCGGCCACAAAGCGAAAUAAUGUUGAGUAUCGGUGUUUGGUCAUUUGGAACUGGCCACUGUUAUGUCCGGUAAACAUAAGUGCAUGGUUGUGUCAGUUAAAAGGGAAGUAUUAUUGCCCUUAGGUCGGUGAUGUCCGACAAAGUCAAGUGUAUCCAGAUGGCCAAUAUAGGAAGUCAUAAAGAUGAGACAAGGAUGCGUCAACAGUUAAAUGCCUUUAGGGCCGGGUGCACCCUGGAGGAGAACCUGUCCUGGCAUCAUCGCAUGCGGUCAUCUUCACGCUUUCUCGUCUUGUCUUCCGUCGGAGUCGGAACUUUUCGUCAUAGUCUCCCGUGGU